rnacentral:rRNA from 1 species
AUGCACGCUGGCGGCGUGCUUAACACCUGCAGGUCGAACGGAAAGGCCAGUGCUUGCACUGGUACUCGAGUGGCGAACGGGUGAGUAACACGUGGGUGAUCUGCCCUGCACUUCGGGAUAAGCCUGGGAAACUGGGUCUAAUACCGGAUAGGACAAUGGUUUGGAUGCCGUUGUGGAAAGUUUUUUCGGUGUGGGAUGAGCUCGCGGCCUAUCAGCUUGUUGGUGGGGUAAUGGCCUACCAAGGCGUCGACGGGUAGCCGGCCUGAGAGGGUGUACGGCCACAUUGGGACUGAGAUACGGCCCAGACUCCUACGGGAGGCAGCAGUGGGGAAUAUUGCACAAUGGGCGCAAGCCUGAUGCAGCGACGCCGCGUGGGGGAUGACGGCCUUCGGGUUGUAAACUCCUUUCGCUAGGGACGAAGCGUAUUUGUGACGGUACCUGGAGAAGAAGCACCGGCUAACUACGUG